rnacentral:rRNA from 1 species
AUUGAACGCUGGCGGAAUGCUUUACACAUGCAAGUCGAACGGCAGCAUAGAGAGCUUGCUCUCUGAUGGCGAGUGGCGAACGGGUGAGUAAUAUAUCGGAACGUACCUAGUAAUGGGGAACAACUAAUCGAAAGGUUAGCUAAUACCGCAUACGACCUACGGGUGAAAGCAGGGGAUCUUCGGACCUUGCGUUAUUAGAGCGGCCGAUAUCUGAUUAGGUAGUUGGUGGGGUAAAGGCCUACCAAGCCUACGAUCAGUAGCUGGUCUGAGAGGACGAUCAGCCACACUGGAACUGAGACACGGUCCAGACUCCUACGGGAGGCAGCAGUGGGGAAUUUUGGACAAUGGGGGCAACCCUGAUCCAGCCAUUCCGCGUGAGUGAAGAAGGCCUUCGGGUUGUAAAGCUCUUUCGCAAGAGAAGAAAUCUUGCUAUUUAAUAAAUAGUAAGGAUGACGGUAUCUUGACAAGAAGCACCGGCUAACUACG